GAUGAACGCUGGCGGCGUGCUUAAUACAUGCAAGUCGAACGAGGAGCCUUUGUAGUAAUACAGGGGAUUUCCUAGUGGCGAACGGGUGAGUAACGCGUUGGUGACCUGCCCCGAAGUGUGGGAUAACAGUCCGAAAGGAUUGCUAAUACCUCAUGUGGUCAUAAGGGUUAGAGGCUUUGUGACUAAAGCAGUAAUGCGCUUCGGGAGGGACCUGCGUCCCAUCAGCUAGUUGGUAGGGUAACGGCCUACCAAGGCAAUGACGGGUAGGGGGCCUGAGAGGGUGGCCCCCGACAAUGGAACUGAAACACGGUCCAUACACCUACGGGUGGCAGCAGUAGGGAAUAGUGGGCAAUGGGCGAAAGCCUGACCCAGCAACGCCGCGUGUGCGAUGAAGGCCUUCGGGUCGUAAAGCACUUUUCUGGGAGAUGAGAAAGGACAGUAUCCCAGGAAUAAGUCUCGGCUAACUACGUGCCAGCAGCCGCCGUAACAC
rnacentral:rRNA from 1 species